UGCUUAUCAGAUCACAAACACCAUGUUGAUGACUACCUGCUGAAAGUGCCCCAUGAUGUCACAUUCCUUUUCAUUAGACUCAGCCUGAUGAGUGCAUAGUUCCAUGAAAUUCCUUUGAUGGGCUCUGCUAGAAGACCCAACAAUGAACGGCAUGCAAUCAUAUGUACCUACGGGGGAAGGAUGGCCAGCCACACAGGAGGGGGAUUUUUACUAAGGAGGAGAAGGAGGUGACUGCAUGCAGGCCAUUUCGGAGUGAAGCGUAUGAUUGCCAAACUCAACCAACGCUUCUUCCAAGGGGGAAUUAUCAAGGAGGUGAACAGCUGGGCAUGUGAAAUUGCCUUUUGUUUAUCAAUCACAUUCUAUGAUAUCUGAAAUUAUUAUGAUUUCAAUGAAUGUCAUAUCAGAGAGCACACAAUGUUUCAAUUUGUCACUUUUUGCUUAAAGUGAAUAUAAAAAAUCUCAGAUAAUAAACUAUGUGCAUUUGCACACAAAAUAAAAUGAAGCAAGUUUUAGUUUCCCUAACACUGAUAUUUUUCUGGCUCUAUCAUACUGGGCACGUAAUAUGUGAGAUACAAAGAUGAACUAAAAACACUAGCACUGCAAACACUCAGAACAAAUAGAGCAGCAGUGCCCAGACUGCAGUCUCCCUCUUCAAGUCCCCCUUCCAAGACUGGCUGCCUGUUGAGAAGUGACCGGCAGAACCUCCCACCCACACAGCAACCACCUCCUCUAUAUUCCACACUCCAGAAUUCAGUAUUUUAGUCUAUGAUUGCCAUGUGAAUGUACAAAAAAAUCUGAAAGUAAAUUAAUGGCUCAACUGUACCAAAAAAUAUAAACAUUUCUGUAUUAAAAUAUUAAAUAUUG